UCCUAAAUACAUUCGUGCAUACCUUAAUAAAGUACGUACAUCAUAACAUAAUCGAUUGAUAAUAGAUUAAUAAUAAUUAAUCUCAUCAUAUAUAGUUGUGAAUGACAUCUGAUCGCUCCUCACAAGAUAAGUCUAUCAUGUCAAAAUUCAAAAUAUCGUGAAGAUCUUCGUAUGCAGUUCGACUGCGAGGAGGAAUCCAU
rnacentral:lncRNA from 1 species